rnacentral:rRNA from 1 species
CCCUUAGAUGUUCUGGGCUGCACGCGCGCUACACUGACGCACGCAACAGGUGCCUGCUCCGAGAGGACUGGGUAAUCAUUUGAGUGUGCGUCGUGAUGGGGAUAGAAUAUUGUAAUUAUUACUCUUCAACGAGGAAUUCCUAGUAAGCGCCUGUCAGCAGCUUGCGCUGAUUACGUCCCUGCCCUUUGUACACACCGCCCGUCGCUCCUACCGAUGGGUGAUCCGGUGAAUGAUUCGGACUUCAGCGGCUCCCCUGGGGUGCGCCGGAGAAAGUUUUGUGAACCUUAUCACUUGGAGGAAAGAGAAGUCGUAACA